UACAGAGGUCUCAAGCGUUGUUCGGAUUCAUUGGGCGUAAGGGGUGUGUAGGUGGCGCGCUAAGUCGGGUGUGAAAUUUCGGAGCUUAACUCCGAAACUGCAUUCGAUACUGGCGUGCUUGAGGACUGGAGAGGAGACUGGAAUUCAUGGUGUAGCAGUGAAAUGCGUAGAGAUCAUGAGGAAGACCAGUGGCGAAGGCGGGUCUCUGGACAGUUCCUGACACUGAGACACGAAGGCCAGGGGAGCAAACGGG
rnacentral:rRNA from 1 species